GGAGACGAACUGAAUAUAGUUGAAGACACCCGUUUGAAGCGGGCUGCCCGCAAGGGUUGCAGGUGCAAGUCCAUGCCGUCUCCUCCA
rnacentral:tRNA from 1 species